GGGUUGUGAGGUUAAGCGACUAAGCGUACACGGUGGAUGCCCUGGCAGUCAGAGGCGAUGAAGGACGUGCUAAUCUGCGAUAAGCGUCGGUAAGGUGAUAUGAACCGUUAUAACCGGCGAUUUCCGAAUGGGGAAACCCAGUGUGAUUCGUCACACUAUCAUUAACUGAAUCCAUAGGUUAAUGAGGCGAACCGGGGGAACUGAAACAUCUAAGUACCCCGAGGAAAAGAAAUCAACCGAGAUUCCCCCAGUAGCGGCGAGCGAACGGGGAGGAGCCCAGAGCCUGAAUCAGUGUGUGUGUUAGUGGAAGCGUCUGGAAAGGCGCGCGAUACAGGGUGACAGCCCCGUACACAAAAAUGCACAUGCUGUGAGCUCGAUGAGUAGGGCGGGACACGUGGUAUCCUGUCUGAAUAUGGGGGGACCAUCCUCCAAGGCUAAAUACUCCUGACUGACCGAUAGUGAACCAGUACCGUGAGGGAAAGGCGAAAAGAACCCCGGCGAGGGGAGUGAAAAAGAACCUGAAACCGUGUACGUACAAGCAGUGGGAGCACAGAGCAAUCUGUGUGACUGCGUACCUUUUGUAUAAUGGGUCAGCGACUUAUAUUCUGUAGCAAGGUUAACCGAAUAGGGGAGCCGAAGGGAAACCGAGUCUUAACUGGGCGUUAAGUUGCAGGGUAUAGACCCGAAACCCGGUGAUCUAGCCAUGGGCAGGUUGAAGGUUGGGUAACACUAACUGGAGGACCGAACCGACUAAUGUUGAAAAAUUAGCGGAUGACUUGUGGCUGGGGGUGAAAGGCCAAUCAAACCGGGAGAUAGCUGGUUCUCCCCGAAAGCUAUUUAGGUAGCGCCUCGUGAAUUCAUCUCCGGGGGUAGAGCACUGUUUCGGCAAGGGGGUCAUCCCGACUUACCAACCCGAUGCAAACUGCGAAUACCGGAGAAUGUUAUCACGGGAGACACACGGCGGGUGCUAACGUCCGUCGUGAAGAGGGAAACAACCCAGACCGCCAGCUAAGGUCCCAAAGUCAUGGUUAAGUGGGAAACGAUGUGGGAAGGCCCAGACAGCCAGGAUGUUGGCUUAGAAGCAGCCAUCAUUUAAAGAAAGCGUAAUAGCUCACUGGUCGAGUCGGCCUGCGCGGAAGAUGUAACGGGGCUAAACCAUGCACCGAAGCUGCGGCAGCGACGCUUAUGCGUUGUUGGGUAGGGGAGCGUUCUGUAAGCCUGUGAAGGUGUGCUGUGAGGCAUGCUGGAGGUAUCAGAAGUGCGAAUGCUGACAUAAGUAACGAUAAAGCGGGUGAAAAGCCCGCUCGCCGGAAGACCAAGGGUUCCUGUCCAACGUUAAUCGGGGCAGGGUGAGUCGACCCCUAAGGCGAGGCCGAAAGGCGUAGUCGAUGGGAAACAGGUUAAUAUUCCUGUACUUGGUGUUACUGCGAAGGGGGGACGGAGAAGGCUAUGUUGGCCGGGCGACGGUUGUCCCGGUUUAAGCGUGUAGGCUGGUUUUCCAGGCAAAUCCGGAAAAUCAAGGCUGAGGCGUGAUGACGAGGCACUACGGUGCUGAAGCAACAAAUGCCCUGCUUCCAGGAAAAGCCUCUAAGCAUCAGGUAACAUCAAAUCGUACCCCAAACCGACACAGGUGGUCAGGUAGAGAAUACCAAGGCGCUUGAGAGAACUCGGGUGAAGGAACUAGGCAAAAUGGUGCCGUAACUUCGGGAGAAGGCACGCUGAUAUGUAGGUGAAGUCCCUCGCGGAUGGAGCUGAAAUCAGUCGAAGAUACCAGCUGGCUGCAACUGUUUAUUAAAAACACAGCACUGUGCAAACACGAAAGUGGACGUAUACGGUGUGACGCCUGCCCGGUGCCGGAAGGUUAAUUGAUGGGGUCAGCGCAAGCGAAGCUCUUGAUCGAAGCCCCGGUAAACGGCGGCCGUAACUAUAACGGUCCUAAGGUAGCGAAAUUCCUUGUCGGGUAAGUUCCGACCUGCACGAAUGGCGUAAUGAUGGCCAGGCUGUCUCCACCCGAGACUCAGUGAAAUUGAACUCGCUGUGAAGAUGCAGUGUACCCGCGGCAAGACGGAAAGACCCCGUGAACCUUUACUAUAGCUUGACACUGAACAUUGAGCCUUGAUGUGUAGGAUAGGUGGGAGGCUUUGAAGUGUGGACGCCAGUCUGCAUGGAGCCGACCUUGAAAUACCACCCUUUAAUGUUUGAUGUUCUAACGUUGACCCGUGAUCCGGGUUGCGGACAGUGUCUGGUGGGUAGUUUGACUGGGGCGGUCUCCUCCUAAAGAGUAACGGAGGAGCACGAAGGUUGGCUAAUCCUGGUCGGACAUCAGGAGGUUAGUGCAAUGGCAUAAGCCAGCUUGACUGCGAGCGUGACGGCGCGAGCAGGUGCGAAAGCAGGUCAUAGUGAUCCGGUGGUUCUGAAUGGAAGGGCCAUCGCUCAACGGAUAAAAGGUACUCCGGGGAUAACAGGCUGAUACCGCCCAAGAGUUCAUAUCGACGGCGGUGUUUGGCACCUCGAUGUCGGCUCAUCACAUCCUGGGGCUGAAGUAGGUCCCAAGGGUAUGGCUGUUCGCCAUUUAAAGUGGUACGCGAGCUGGGUUUAGAACGUCGUGAGACAGUUCGGUCCCUAUCUGCCGUGGGCGCUGGAGAACUGAGGGGGGCUGCUCCUAGUACGAGAGGACCGGAGUGGACGCAUCACUGGUGUUCGGGUUGUCAUGCCAAUGGCACUGCCCGGUAGCUAAAUGCGGAAGAGAUAAGUGCUGAAAGCAUCUAAGCACGAAACUUGCCCCGAGAUGAGUUCUCCCUGACUCCUUGAGAGUCCUGAAGGAACGUUGAAGACGACGACGUUGAUAGGCCGGGUGUGUAAGCGCAGCGAUGCGUUGAGCUAACCGGUACUAAUGAACCGUGAGGCUUAACCUUACAACGCCGAAG
rnacentral:rRNA from 1 species